UCACCUGGAGCUCUCAUUGAAAUGCAGAUUCUGAUUCAGUAGGUUGGGGUGGGAUUCUGCAAUUCUAACAAGCUCCCAGGUGAUGC
rnacentral:miRNA from 1 species